rnacentral:rRNA from 1 species
AUUGAACGCUGGCGGCAUGCCUUACACAUGCAAGUCGAACGGCAGCGGACCUUCGGGUGCCGGCGAGUGGCGAACGGGUGAGUAAUGCAUCGGAACGUACCUUUCAGUGGGGGAUAACGUAGCGAAAGUUACGCUAAUACCGCAUAUUCUGUGAGCAGGAAAGCAGGGGAUCGCAAGACCUUGCGCUGAUUGAGCGGCCGAUGUCAGAUUAGCUAGUUGGUGAGGUAAAGGCUCACCAAGGCGACGAUCUGUAGCGGGUCUGAGAGGAUGAUCCGCAACACUGGAACUGAGACACGGCCCAGACUCCUACGGGAGGCAGCAGUGGGGAAUUUUGGACAAUGGGGGCAACCCUGAUCCAGCCAUGCCGCGUGAGUGAAGAAGGCCUUCGGGUUGUAAAGCUCUUUCGGCCGGGAAGAAAUCGCACGGGCUAAUACCCUGUGUGGAUGACGGUACCGGAAUAAGAAGCACCGGCUAACUACGUGCCAGCCGCCGCCGUAACAC